GCAGCAGAUGAUGAGAAAAAAGAAUAGGGACAUCUUACACGCCCUUCUGGGAUGUGAUGACGUAUUCUAUAGGGAUCUCUAUGAUGCUAU
rfam:Physcomitrella patens subsp. patens PHYPAscaffold_101 genomic scaffold, whole genome shotgun sequence.